UCUGUAGCAAUACAGAUGGCGCACGGCGCACGGGUGCGUAACACGUGGGUAAUCUGCCCUUCGAUGGGGAAUAACUCGCCGAAAGGCGAGCUAAUUCCGCAUAACAUUCCUUGAACCUCGGUUUGGGGACUCAAAGCCGUAAGGCGUCGGAGGAGGAACCCGCGCACGAUUAGCUAGUUGGUAGGGUAACGGCCUACCAAGGCUUUGAUCGUUAGCUGGUCUGAGAGGAUGGCCAGCCACACUGGAACUGAGACACGGUCCAGACUCCUACGGGAGGCAGCAGUGGGGAAUCUUGCACAAUGGGCGAAAGCCUGAUGCAGCGACGCCGCGUGGGGGAUGAAGCUUUUCGGAGUGUAAACCCCUUUCGACCCGGACGAAUGCCCCGCAAGGGGACUGACGGUACGGGUAUAAGAAGCCCCGGCUAACUACGUGCCAGCAGCCGCGGUAAGACGUGGGGGGCCAGCGUUGCUCGGAAUUACUGGGUGUAAAGGGUUCGUAGGCGGUGUAGCAAGUCGGGAGUGAAAUCUCUGGGCUCAACCCAGAGACUGCUUCCGAAACUGCUGUGCUUGAGUGUGGGAGAGGCGCGUGGAAUUGCAGGUGUAGCGGUGAAAUGCGUAGAUAUCUGCAGGAACACCCGUGGCGAAAGCGGCGCGCUGGACCACUACUGACGCUGAGGAACGAAAGCUAGGGGAGCAAACAGGAUUAGAUACCCUGGUAGUCCUAGCCCUAAACGAUCAGGACUUGGGGUGCCGCACGUUCGUGCGUCGUCCCGGAGCUAACGCGUUAAGUCCUGCACCUGGGGAGUACGGUCGCAAGACUG
rnacentral:rRNA from 1 species